UUUAAAGUAAGCUAAUUUAAGCUAGUGGGUUCAUACCCCAAAAAUGAAAUUUUCCUUUAAUA
rnacentral:tRNA from 1 species